UUAAGGAAAAAUAUUUAUAUUAUUUCUUAACAAAAAAUUAUAUUUCAUAUAAUUAUUUCAAUAAAAGGAAAGAACUUACAUUAAUUCUUAAAGAAAUAAGUGUGAUGAUAGUCGUGAAGAAAAAUCGGAAAAAUAUUAAUAAUGGAUAAGCUUAACCUUACAUCUUUGCUCUCAUGGUUGAGUUUUCACCGUGGUUUCGAACCCUUUGUUCUAGUAUGGGUCACGUGCCGUCGUUGAUGGGAGAACUAUCGUCCAUGAAAGAGGCUUCCCACUCUCUAUUGUGGCCACGACGGUUGAGGGGUUGAGCAAAACAGAGACAAGAAGAAGAUAGAAAAGGGAGUAAAAGAGAGAUGGUCGAACGACAGAAACGCAAAAGGGUGGUUUUGCCCAGACUCACAAGUGGCAGCUUUUAAUCUCUUCCAGGGAUAUCUCAACUCGAGUCUGAAUUGUACCUCGUUACCAGCGGUUUAAUUGCUUGUUAAUGGAUAAUCGAAGUAUUUUACGAAUUGGCUCCGGGAAUACUAUCGACUUCAU